GCAAAGCUGUAAGUUAGAAAACCGAAGAUAAACUCCCAGAAGGAAUUCAGAUGCCUUCACAGCCCUCCAUGGCACAUUCCUCAAAAGAGGUUUUCCCUAGAAAACAGCAACCUGACAGCAGCAACACAGAGCAUGGAAUUUGCUGAGUAGAGUGGGAAGAAAGGAGGGCUGAAUGGCAUCCUGAGACUCCUCUUAUCUAGGAUGCUCCCUCCUCUUCAUUCCUGCUGCCUUCUACACUGGGCAGUACCACUGUGUUCUGCCAGAUGAGUGAGAGCAAAUGAAUUACAAAAUAUAAAUACAAA
ensembl:processed_transcript Gm3211 predicted gene 3211